UCCCUGAUAGCUCAGUUGGUAAAGAAUUCGCCUGUAAUGCAGGAGACCCCGGUUUGAUUCCGGGUCAGAAAG
rnacentral:tRNA from 1 species